CACUGUUUUACCAAAUAUUCAUUAUACUUCUCAUGAGGAACACUUAGCUUGCUUUCAUAUCUUGCCUAUUGUGAAUAAUGCUGCAAUAAACACGAGAGUGCAGAUAUCUUUACCAGUCAGAUCACACCUCCCCUUUUACAGAUAACAUUGCUUGAAGGAAGACAGAACUAUGCUACUCAAGAAUCAUGACGAACAGAUCAUAUAGACAGGGGUUUGCAGUGUUGCCCAGACUGAAAUGCAGUUUUGUGACCUCAGCUCACCACAACCUCCACCUCCUGCUCCUGCCUCAGCCUCUUGAGUAGCUGGGAUUACAGGCACGCAACCACACCAAGCUAACGUUUGUACUUCAGUAGAGAAAAGGUUUCAUCCUUUUCGCCAGGCUGGGCUGAAACUCCUGACCUCAAGUUAUCUACAUUCUUUGGACUCCCAAAGUGUUAGGAUUGCAAGCAUGAGUCACCACACCUGGCUCCAACCCAGAUUUUUAAGGCUCUCCCAAGGAUAAUUUCCUUAAAGCACAAACUAGUUUAUGUCUGUUGAUUAACAUUCUUUUAUGAAUUUCUCCAGUUUUCAGAAUAAAAUAUUGUAUUUUACUUUUAUUUUCAGAAGAAGCAAAAUUCUUUGUGUAAUUGUGCCUGUUUAAGCUUUAGUCUCUUCUUGUUAGUCACCUAAAUAUGCCUGUAUGCUUUGGUCAACCUGGAAAUUUCCUUAUGACUUUUCAUACUGUACUACCCUCUAAUUGUAAUGCACUCCUGCUGAAGUAAACGCUCCUCUUCUGCUACAUAUCACGCCUUUAUAACUCUCCUACUUUAUGUAACAGAAUACUUUGCUUUCCUAGCC
rnacentral:lncRNA from 1 species